AUCUACGGCCAUACCACCCUGAACGCACCCGAUCUUGUCUGAUCUCAGAAGCUAGGCAGGGUCGGGCCUGGUUAGUACUUGGAUGGGAGACCGCCUGGGAAUACUGGGUGCUGUAGGCU
rnacentral:rRNA from 1 species